GCAGUCGAGCGGACCGACGGGAGCUUGCUCCCUUAGGUCAGCGGCGGACGGGCGGACUAACACGUGGGUAACCUGCCUGUAAGACUGGGAUAACUCGAGGGAAACCGGGGCUAAUACCGGAUGCUUGAUUGAACCGCAUGGUUCAAUCAUAAAAGGUGGCUUUUAGCUACCACUUGCAGAUGGACCCGCGGCGCAUUAGCUAGUUGGUGAGGUAACGGCUCACCAAGGCGACGAUGCGUAGCCGACCUGAGAGGGUGAUCGGCCACACUGGGACUGAGACACGGCCCAGACUCCUACGGGAGGCAGCAGUAGGGAAUCUUCCGCAAUGGACGAAAGUCUGACGGAGCAACGCCGCGUGAGUGAUGAAGGUUUUCGGAUCGUAAAACUCUGUUGUUAGGGAAGAACAAGUACCGUUCGAAUAGGGCGGYACCUUGACGGUACCUAACCAGAAAGCCACGGCUAACUACGUGCCAGCAGCCGCGGUAAUACGUAGGUGGCAAGCGUUGUCCGGAAUUAUUGGGCGUAAAGCGCGCGCAGGCGGUUUCUUAAGUCUGAUGUGAAAGCCCCCGGCUCAACCGGGGAGGGUCAUUGGAAACUGGGGAACUUGAGUGCAGAAGAGGAGAGUGGAAUUCCACGUGUAGCGGUGAAAUGCGUAGAGAUGUGGAGGAACACCAGUGGCGAAGGCGACUCUCUGGUCUGUAACUGAC
rnacentral:rRNA from 1 species